ensembl:lncRNA
UCAGUGUAGGGUCAGUGUUGGGUCAGUGUUGGGUCAGUGUUGGGUUAGUGUUGGGUCAGUGUAGGGUCAGUGUAGGGUCAGUGUUGGGUCAGUGUUGGGUUAGUGUUGGGUCAGUGUAGGGUCAGUGUUGGGUCAGUGUUGGGUCAGUGUUGGGUCAGUGUUGGGUCAGUGUUGGGUCAGUGUUGGGUUAGUGUUGGGUCAGUGUUGGGUCAGUGUAGGGUCAGUGUUGGGUCAGUGCUGGGUUAGUGCUGGGUUAGUGCUGGGUUAGUGCUGGGUUAGUGCUGGGUUAGUGUGUAGUUAGUGUUGGGUUAGUGUUGGGUCAGUGUUGGGUCAGUGUGGGGUCAGUGUUGGGUCAGUGUUGGGUUAGUGUUGGGUUAGUGUGUGGUUAGAGUUGGGUUAGUG